GGAUUGUGUCUGAAAGCCAUACAGUUCUGACUCCUUUGUGAGGAGAAAGUGAGAGGGGCAUGUAAGCUCUAUUGAUCCUUCCUCUCUCCGGAUUGAAUCUGAAUGGCGUUUCUCUGGGUGAGAGUCGAAUCUAUCUGCUCAGGCCUCCCACUCAUCGCUCCUCCAAUUAGCAUAUCAAUUGUGCGGCAUGUUUUAUAUGCAGGACCAGAAGAGGCGGCCCGCGUGUAUCCCGCUUUACACCGUGAAUCAUCAUCCACUAGUGCAGUCGCCAUGAGAGCGCCUCUAAAUCCUUUCUAUAAGUGGACCUAAUGCAGUUUCGUGUCGAGUUCGGCUUAAUAGAUGCUUUUAUCCAGAAUGACUUGCAGUGGAUCCAUGAUAUACAUUUUUUAUCAGUAUGUGUCCUCGGGGGGAUCGAAUCCAUAACCUUUGCAUUCCUAAUGCAACGCUCCACCAGUUGAUCUACAGGACCACCUACAGUAUUGCCCCCCAUAAUAACAGCUGUGGCUGUUAUGACCCUGUGAGACACAGUCAUUUUCUAUGCUUUCUAUAACCUUCAUUUUGGUGUCAAAUCACUUGUGGGUGACAUGAAAAACUCUGUUUCUGAGGACCAAUUAACUGGAGAGUAUUUUGAAACAUUGUAGUGUAACAGGCAUAAAAAACCAAUGCGUUGCGUAGAGGACACAGCGCUCCGUAGAGACUGUGUAUUCAGCAAUUAUUUAUUUCAUGCCUGUUUUCAUGAACAAAAGCGUUUUCAGUCGAGGGAGAUAAUUAAGCAAUUAAAUCACAAAGUGAUGUGCCUGUUGUCAGCAAAUACCUGUAAUACAAAACCCUCAGGUGACACGGGCCAAUGUUGCAUUUGAGUACAUGAUCGCUAAAACAGCUCAAAGACUCUGCAGACAGAUAGAGACAGAGCGCAGUUAUGCAAAUUUGAAAACCACGCCCACCGGGGGGGAACGCAAUCCAACCGUCUCCAUUGACUUUGUAUUGCGAGAAGCCGCCUCCUUGUCAUUUCUGGAUUAUAACAAAAAACUGAAUAAUGCCUAAAAGCUGCUGUGUGACAAUAUGUACAGCUAACAAGACAAAGAACCCAGAAAUAAGUUUUUAUAAGCUGUCGAGCCGUAAAACCCAGUCUUUAAGGAGAAUAAAGUGGA